rnacentral:rRNA from 1 species
GACGAACGCUGGCGGCGUGCUUAACACAUGCAAGUCGAACGGUGAAGCCCAGCUUUCUUGGUGUGCUCGUGUCGAACGCGUGAGUAUCACGCGUGUAUCCCGCGCUUUACACUUGGAUAUGACUUGGGAACUGGGUCUAUUAUCCGAUAUGAGCGUUCACCGCACGGUGGGGGUUUUGGAGAUUUUUCGGUUUUGGAUGGACUCGCGGCGUAUCAGCUUGUUGGGGAGGUGUUGGCUCACCAAGGCGACGACGGGUAGCCGGCCUGAGAGGGUGACCGGCCACACUGGGACUGAGACACGGCCCAGACUCCUACGGGAGGCAGCAGUGGGGAAUAUUGCACAAUGGGCGGAAGCCUGAUGCAGCGACGCCGCGUGAGGGAUGACGGCCUUCGGGUUGUAAACCUCUUUCAGUAGGGAAGAAGCGAAAGUGACGGUACCUGCAGAAGAAGCACCGGCUAACUACGUG